UGGCAUCCUAAUAAGUUUAUUGUGAGAAAUAAUGUGAGGGAUAUAAUAUAUAAUGUAGAUUCAAUAUGUAAUAUAGUACCCUCUUCUGUUGAAGUGUAUCUCAUAUAGUACUCAAAAGUUGCAGUGUGUGUGUAAGUUCAUUGAUCUUACAUGCUGUAAACCUGCAAUUAAUAUUGUGUAUUGAUAUUUU